rnacentral:lncRNA from 1 species
ACUGCUACCUGAUGUAUACUGCCAACCCUGGCUUUACACGGUAAAUUUCUACAGUUUCACCUCUGUGUCUCAGUGACUGAGUGAGGCACUUUGUUACUGAGAUCCACAAGCCAUUGCAGAAGGAGCCUCUGCCUCCUACCCUGAUAAUCUUUUGUUUUUCCCUUCUCCUUGAUACCAACAUUUACUUUUAUUGAGAAUGUCUUUUUGCUUCUUCCUGGUAUUCAGAUCAGAAGUGGGGACAGGUGAGGAAGAGCUGCUCUUGAUGACACUUUUGUACCUGGAACCAGAUAGCGGGGUGCUUCUCUACUGGGCGUGGAUGUGUGAGUGGAAGGCUGCCCUGUGGAGAUGAGGCACCACACCUUGGCCUUCACCACAUCACUGUCCUGUCUUAUUGCUGACGCUCUCAUCCUGAGGGGGUUGCUUUUAAGAAUGGGUCCAGCCUUCCAACUUCUAAUACAGAUCUGUCAUUAACUAGAUAAGAGUUUUGGAACUUCAUUGAGCUUUUGAACUUGUAAUAUUCAGGGGGUGGGAUACAUGACCACACCCACGUCAUUUGUGGCAAACAAACCUACUCGAAUGACGGAUUGUUCUCAUGUCACGGUAGAGGGCAUUAUUUGGCCUGAACUCCAAAAAGAUGUAACAUUUCCCACUGCGGUCCCAAACUCGCUCAUUCCCUUGUGUGUCCACAUGCCCCUUUCUCAGGGGACCAGGGACAUGAAACAAGGUCUAAGCAUGAUGGUCUGGUGAGAACCUGGGAAAGCUGAGCCAUGGCUUAAAGAAUUUUUUUUUCAAUCUGAUCAAAAAUUGUAGUACCAAAAUAUUUAUACACCCUAGUAGCUCUUAGUGAUGGGGGGAAAUCAGUUCUGAUCAUACUUUAUUCCGAUGGAAGGUGAUUCCUCGUGAAAAAUGCCAAUACAGAUUUUUUUAAAUCUAUUCUUUUCCAAAUGCACUUUCUAAUUUUUUGCUUUUAAAAUAGCAUCUUGGAACCAAUAUUGUAUUUUUACUUAAUUUUUGUUCUCAUCUAAAUGUGCAUUUUCUGACUGUAUAGAAGAAACUUUGUUAUAUAAUUUAAUAAAUUAAAUAUCUAAAUAGCCAUGUCUAUGGUUAUCUGUUCCAGCAAGAUAACUUG